CACGAGUUUGAUCCUGGCUCAGAUUGAACGCUGGCGGCAUGCUUUACACAUGCAAGUCGAACGGUAGAGGGGGCAACCCCUUGAGAGUGGCGAACGGGUGAGUAAUAUAUCGGAACGUGCCCAGUCGUGGGGGAUAACGUAGCGAAAGUUACGCUAAUACCGCAUACGAUCUACGGAUGAAAGCGGGGGACUCGCAAGAGCCUCGCGCGAUUGGGAGCGGCCGAUAUCAGAUUAGGUAGUUGGUGGGGUAAAGGCUCACCAAGCCAACGAUCUGUAGCUGGUCUGAGAGGACGACCAGCCACACUGGAACUGAGACACGGUCCAGACUCCUACGGGAGGCAGCAGUGGGGAAUUUUGGACAAUGGACGCAAGUCUGAUCCAGCCAUUCCGCGUGCAGGAUGAAGGCCCUCGGGUUGUAAACUGCUUUUGUACGGAACGAAAAGGUUUCUAUUAAUACUAGGAGCUCAUGACGGUACCGUAAGAAUAAGCACCGGCUAACUACGUG
rnacentral:rRNA from 1 species